UUUUCAUUUUCUCUCACAUUUUCUGUUUUGUGGGAGCUUUGGCGAUGAAGAUUUUAUUGACCUCAUGUGAUUUGCAAACUCAAGCUUGAUUGAUUGUAUAUCGAUGGCAGGUCGAUUUGGAACUAAGAGGUUGAAAUUAUAUUCGUAUUUUUAACAGAUUAUCUAAACUUUGAGAGAAGUGGCUGUGAUUUUGAAUGUGCCGAGAGGUGGCGUUGUCCAUUAGAAGCUUGCAAAGCUUAAGAAGCAAGUAGCCUAAGUUGAGAACAAGUGCACCACUUAUCAAUACUUCAUGUAGAGCCUAAUCUAGGGAGAUGCUGAUAUCGGGUGAUAUAUUCCUUUGCCUGGAACCUAUAGUAAUUGUCGUUUCUAGUUCGAGUGUAAGAUAUCCAUUUCUUAUGGGCUACUUGAUAAGAAGGAAGUCACUAAAGUUGGUGUAUUUCCCUAUAAGGCAGUGAAGUACCAUAGUUGAAGCAUCUAUAAAACACAGUGCAUAAAACUCCAGAAAAAUCUCAGUACAUAUAGCUGCACUGCGGUAAAAAUGAGUGCAUAAAUGUUGCAUAAUCGUAUCAUAUUUUUAUCGCUUUCACACCUACCUGAGUUGUACAUGUACUUAAAGAUGGAGUGCUAUGAUGGCAACGUAGAAGAUUAAUAUCGUCAAAUAUGUUUAGAAUUUCAGAAGACUUGUAUAUAAAAAAAAAAUCUUAUUAUUUUCUCCAUCUUUUUCAUUUUUUUGUUAUAUAGUAUACUGGCAUUUCAUGUAUGUGUGAUAAAAGGGAACCAUAAUGUAUGAAAUCAACUGAACCUAAAUUUAGGUCUAUGUUAUACUCUUUUUUUCCCUUUUAAUGUAAGUAUUUCCUGUGCAUCU